rnacentral:tRNA from 1 species
GCCUGGGUGGCUCAGUCAGUGAAGCGUCUGACUUCAGCUCAGGUCUGAUUUUGCAGUUUGUGGGUUUGAGACCCACAUCGGGCU